UGGUUAAAUGCCACUGUUAAAUAUAGCCUGCAAUUCUUUCCACAUAAACUCCAACUAAAAUGAAAUCCACUUUCAUAUCAGUGUAGUCACUGCUAAUACUUAACCUCAUGAAGUUCAACAAGAGGAACUGCAAAGUGCUGCCCCUGAAGAGGAACAAAUCAGCUGGAAACUAGCUGGGCAGAAAAGGACCUGGGGGUCCUGGUGGACACCAAGCUCAGUGUGAGCCAGCAAUGUGACCUUGAUGCUAGGGAGGUUAAUGGUGUCCUGGACUACGGUACACUAAUUACUGCCAGCAGGUCAAGGAAGGUGAGGCCACACCUGGAGUGCUGGGUCCAUUUCUGGGCCCCCAGUACAAGAGAGACGUGGAAAUACUGAAGAGAGCCCAGCAGAGGGCCACAAAGAUGAGGAAGGACUUGGAGCACCUCGCCUGUGAGCAGAGGCCGGGAGAGCUGGGACUGCUCAGCCUGGAGAAGAGGAGGCUCAGGGGGAUCUCCCCCAGGGCUGGGAAUCCCCGCAGGGAGGGGGCAAAGAGGCCGCAGCCAGGCUCUGUUCAGGGGUGCCCAGCGCCAGGCCAGGGGCAGUGGGCACCAAGGGGCAGGCAGGAGGCUCCCUCUGAGCACCAGGCAGCACUUCUGUGCUGGGCGGGCGGCUGAGCACUGGCCCAGGCUGCCCAGAGAGGCUGGGGGGGCUCCUCCUGGGAGACCCAAAUCCCUUGCUCGUUCCAUCCAACAUCGACCACAUGCCUCUGCUGGAGGUGUUUCUCCCUGGAGCACGUAGGACGUUCUUCCUUCAGGCACCACCUGCACCUGACAUAAAACUCUUUCACCAGGUGCCAGGAGCAUUUUGAGCAGAGAGCUUCCAGCUUCCCACUCAACAUGGGUCACAAGUACCUCCAGUAUUUCAUAGAAGCUGAUUCAGACACCUUUUGAGGUUCACCGGGCAAGCAAGUCACUGCUAUGAGCUCACCUGUUUAUAUAAGUGAUGAUCAAACUGCCCACUGCUACAGCUGUUCCUCCCUAUGACAGAGCAAGGCUUGAACUGACUGCUUCUGUAGUCCUUCGCUUAUGACUGCACCUCUGUCAGGGGAUGAAGUGAGAUUUCACUAAUCAAGGUAUGUGCACAACCCCCAGGUUUACAGUACGACCUUCUUAAGUACGUAAAGUAUUGGAAAACUCUCAAAAGGAGCUGAAGGACCUGCCUGGUUUAUUUUAGAGUGCAUCUGACUGUGAGGAGCUGGGACACCUAUGCUAAAGCAAAUCUUUAUCUGCUGAAAUCCACCUGGAUGUUUUUUUGUUUGAAGGCUGGUUGUCCUUAGCAACUUCUUAGCAAAAGCAAAAAAAAAGCCUUCAGGAAAUGGCUUAAUGACUUUGAUCUAAGCAAUCAGAAAGCUAAAAACUCUACAGAUGUCUAGUGCAUGCAUUGCCAAAUAGGAAAGGGUCUCUUUUCAAGGCAAAAUUACUUACCUAUGCAGUAACAGAGGCUGUUUGAAGUGAAUUGAUAUGCAUUCAUUCCUGAUACAUAUGAAUACUGCGGCCUCUCCAGUGAGAAAAUCAUGAAAGUGAAUAAAAUGUAAGGAUAUUAAUUUUGAAAUAAGUUUGGGCUUUUGUCUCAUGAUGAUCAUAUGCCAAAAGAAAGUAACAUUUGAGACUCUGUAGACUUUGCCUCUACAGUCUUCUGGUGGAAAAAACUUCUCCUAAGAGGUCAUCUUCAUAAGAGUAAAGAAAACAGGGCUGGAAAACAUUUUUUUUUAAAUGUAAAAUACAUCUAUUUAGGGAAGUAUCUAGAAGUGCUUUGACUUACAGUGCUUCCUUCCCACAGUCUCAUACCGGUAACAGCAUUGCCCAUCUGAAUUGUCCAGGAAGACAAGGACUGCAGAAUACAUGAGUGUUAGUUAAGGCAAAGAGACACAGAUUCUUAAAUGCAGUAUUUUCUUUUUAAAUUUACUUGUUUCUGGUCAUUAACUCGAUGGGUAAAUUACACAGCACCUAAAAUAGUCCUUCCAGUAUUCUGUUGCAAGUAAUUGUUAUUCUACGUCCAGCAUGUCAGCUCCCAAACCAUCACAAGACUUCAGGACAAUGUUGCAAAGGUUCGUUAUGUGUUUGCACUCUCUCCUUGCCAGUGCUAAUGAAGAGUGAUGGGCUUUGUUGACUUUAUCAUGGGUGAGAGGUUAUACGUCAAGGAUAAUCUGAGAGGUGACAGAUUCUUGUCUGUCAGAAGGGACAGAGUCUUUGAGACUGUGCUUUCUUCUAAGUUAAAAAAGCCUAAGAGUGCUGCAGCCCACUGAACAAAAUAGCCCAGCAGAGCCAGAGUGCUCUGAAGAAACUGGAUUUUUGGAGUAGCAGCAGUUCAACUUUUAAGGACCAAAAAUUUGGACAGUGAGCUUAUACGGUGCUCCUUGCAUUUCAGGUUCAGGAAUAUCUCCAUGUCGAUGGAGGACUAAACUUCUGAAAACCAAAUCUCCAUGCUGAUUUGAGCGCAGAACUGAAGGCAGGUUUAUGGUUUCAGGGGAUGUGUUUUACUGUCUUCUGCAGUUUUAUGAACCAGCAAAAUAAACAUGCAGACAGACUGCAUUAAGAAGUACUUCAACACCCUCUGCAGGAUCCAGAAACCAAAAAUAAAAUGAUUUCUACCUGCAUUUAGUUCUGGUGGAUUGAACUGAUAGUCUCAAUUUUGUAUGGAUUACUCAAGUAGUUCUGAGAACUCUUUUUCUCCUGACCUCAUCAAUAUGUAUAUUAUAUCCUAGCAGCUCUUACAUGUUUUGUUCUGUUUUGUUUUUCUCAAAACAGAUGUUGACUUGAAGAAUACAGACUUCCCUCACCUUUUCACUGAUUGUAUAUUUCUUCUUUCUUGGUUCUAAGGGUAGAUUGUUACUACCAUGCAGUCUCUGAAGAACUUUAUAAUAUCAAUGUCUGAAAGUAAAUUUAGUCCAAGCAGUCCAUGCUAUAUCCAAAAUUCAAGCAUGCCUUUUGCCUAACGUCUACUAACACCAUUGACAAAGGGUAGGUACAGCUUCUGAGUAAUAUUUCAGUCUCUAAUGUAUUUUGGAAGUACUGAGAAGUCCAUAUUGUGUCUCAGCACACAAGAUUAUUGUUUUCACUGACGUGACUUACUGAAAGAAGAGAGGACUAGAGCAGAUAACACAAAAUUCAGAUACAAAUCAGCAGUGCAUACCGAGGACUUCCUCUGGCUAGGAGUAAAGCCCUCAAUGCCUUCUGUGGAAGGAGUGUAUAAACAUCAGGUAAAAGCAGCACAACUUAGGAGCACCAACAAACACUUCAGACCACUCUCCUAGACUAUAGGAGAGAGAGAAGGACUUUUCCUGGGUAUUUACACAUGGGUGUGAGGAAGGAGUGGGAAUCAGUAUUCAAGAUGCAAGACACACCUAAUCAAGCAACCUGAAUUUUAUCUCCACUAAAAGCAAAACCUAAUUCUUUUUCCAGGCUUAACAUCUCUGCUCACCUUGAUCUUGGAGAUUAUGGGCAAAGCUGGGGGUUUCAUAGGCGGUCUCCUGAGAAAGUCACAUAUUGCUGUCCUACAGAAGCCACACCAGCAUCUUAGAUAAAUGCAGCCAGAAUGCCUCCACAUCCAGCCACAGUACCCACGAGCUUAAAUACUUCCUGUAAAACUGGAUAAUUUGUUACCCACAUGUCUCAUCCCCUUCUUGUCGCUGGCUUUAAUAGCUUUUCUCAACAGAUUUCAUGUAAUGUGAGCCACAGGGUGGCAAAGCCUCUAUUAGAGAGACCUGUUCGUAGUGAAGCAUCGGUUCAUCUUUGAAAAGGUCAGCCUUCUCCCUUGUGUGUUUGGAAAAAUGAGCAAUCAUGUUAUAAAAAUACUAAAAAUACCUGAAAAAUGACUUGGAAUCAUUUCUCUAAGAUGUGUCAAUGCCACUUUCAAAGUGAGUUGGUCUUGUGUGAAUAGGGUGAGCUGAAUUUCAGACAUGCUGGUUCUUGCUCUACCUCUUAAUGAGUUCUUUGGAUGCCUACUUGUCAUAUAAUUUUACCAUUUCCUAUUUGAUUAAGGAUUUUUUUUAACCAUUCCAGUAAUUUAUAGAGUUCUGUGUGAGCUGUGGGUGUGAGUACUCUUUGAUCUCUAUUUGUAUGCACACAAGUUUGCUAAAAUCCCUGCUGGUUUCUGCUAAAGGAAGAAAGCAAGUUGCUACCUGUAGAGUGGUUCCUAUGACACUUUGCAGUCGUCUGGAUUAAACCAGUCUCUUCUGUUUACUGAGGUGGCUUCGGGAAGAAAAUGUGCUUCAAUGAAGCUUUGUCCAGUUUGAACUCAGAAAUUCCUUUUAUAUAUACGAAUAUUCUUUCUGUAUAUAAUAUAUGUAAAAAGAGAGAUCAUGGACUUCCUGAUACAUCACCUGAUUCAGGUAUUUUUAUUAUAAGAGGUGUGACUGCAGGAUGGCAGAAGACAUCUUUUCCCCAUGUUGAAUGAAGAAUAUUCAGGGAGACACAUUUACAGGGUCUCCAGCUAAUGAUAAAAGUUAUUUUAGGAGGAAAAAUUAAUAAAAAAAGUCCACAGGGAAAAGUGAAAACUCUACUGAGCGACCACCUAGGAAGAGCAGACCCAGAUGAGCAUCCUCCUGGUUUUCUCUAAACUAAAAAGCUCCAAAAUGAAAGGUAAGAAAGGAGGGAAAUAAGGUGUGAAUCUCACGCCAGUGGUGGCUGCUUCCUGUGAAAACCCAUCAUAACAACAAUAUCUGGGUUUGCAGGUGCAAAGCCAUGAAAAGAACAUGAAAAAUGACAAGAGCAUGAGGACAACAAGGGAAAAACACUACUUUACAGGCUCUGGAAAGUACUGUCUCGACUGCUUCAGAGAGAGGUUGCAGAGCUGUGAGUAAAAGGCAAGCUGCAGGGAUGGAAAUAGCAGGCCCUCAGCAUUACCAAGGCUGAGGCAUUGAGGUGCAACGCCCAUCCCAGAAAUGGGGCAGAAAAGCCUCUGGUCCACAGCAUGGGGACCCACUGCAGCAAUGUCACCUCUCCCCUGAGCCACCCAGGCUGCUGCUGUCUGCUGAAACAAAUCUCAGCAUCAAGACGCUGAGUCACAGACAGAUGUUUUCAGCGCAGGGCUGCCAAUGUGGAAUGAGCUCCCGAAGGAAAUCAGAAUGAUGCAAACCAUAAUUAACCUUCAGGUGUGCUGCAAAAUCCUAUUUCUUAUUUCAGCAGUCCCACUUGAAAGGCCAGAAAAUCCCAGUUCUACUGAGGGCACUCAGGGUACUGAGUGGUUUUUGGAUGACACAUGAUAUAGAAAACCCUGUGACAGAGAAAGAUUUUGACUAGCAAAGCAAUAUAAUCAUAAUUCUGUUAGCCAGGGUAGGCAGACCAACAGAGAAGUUGGUCCACAAUUUACAAAGCAACAUAACCGUUGUAUUAAAAAUGUUAUUAAAAAUAAUAGACCUUUAGUGCUAGCAGCACAUUUUGCUAGGUCUUUGCAUGAUGCAUCUGAAAUUAAAAGCUAUCAGGUCUUCUUGAAACAGCUGGAUUGUGGGAAAACUUUUUCAGUUCCUAACCAGAGGCAUCUGUCCUUCAGGGAGAACCAACUGACAUUAGGCAGUAAAGAGGUUUGAAACAACUGCAGUGGCAUAUAAAAGAUAAAUUUCACUGCAUCAGUUACAUGUGAAAGGGCACCCCAAAACCUGUUUUGUGGGAAGGUGAACCAAGCAGCAUCCUGAUCUCAUCCCAGGAUGUGAGUUGGGAUGCCUUGGUUCAGACAGGCUCCGUUCUGCUCGUACAGUGUCUGUUACCAUCGUGCCAUGCUCCAGAGAGGAGAAAAGACUCUAGGCUAUAGAAAAGUUGGAAUAAGAUCAUUAAUCUUUCAUAUUUGAUGUAAGCUAGCAUGUUCCAUGCAACAAUAAUAAAACAUAAACCAAGUAUUUUUUAAAAAUAGUAUUAAAAAAAAAAAAAAAUCUGCAGAAAACAUCCUAAGCCAUGAAGCCAAGACUGCGAUAAACAACAGCAGUUGUCAAAACUUAGCAGAAAGGGAUGCAAAACUCAGGAGCGAGACACUGGCGCCAUCUAGAAGAGGAACAGAACAUGCACCGAGCAAGAGUUACUGGGAGCACACAGUGCAGCCCAGCCUGGUUUGCAGAGUGCAAGAGACACUUCUGCUACUCAUGCGCCGGAUUUUUAUGAAUUGCAAGACCACAUUUCAAUGAGGAGGAUUCUCUACAUUUCCAAGCCUCGGUGAUACUAAAAUAAAGUACUUACAGGUGUUUUUAUCCUGUUUUUAUUCAUAUUUUUUUGUAUCACCAUUUCGUUACUGAGACAUCUUUCUCUCCAUGGAUACUGCUUUCACAAUCUUAUUUUAAUGGCUUCGUAUAUAAACCAGUGAAACAGGCACUUAUCAAGACCCAGUUUUCCAUCCCUUUCAGCUAACUUUUUUUUUUUUUUUUUUUUUGCCAAGAAGUGGGGACUCAGGGCUGAGGUGGGCAGCUGUUGCUCAGUCUUUCCCUGUGAGGGCUCCAGGGAGGCAUUGCGGGUGGCUGGCUCCGUCCCACUGCAGUGUGACAGAAGUGCCCAAAGCUACUACAGGGGGUGUGACGGUGGCUUCCUGCUGGGAAGGCUUUGGAAAGGAAAAAACAAUGUGUUUGGUUUUGUUUUUUUGUUUGUUUGCUUUUUUUUUUUUUCUUUUAUUUCUCUGCUGCAUGCAAGAGGCCAUUUGAGUAGGAUGAGAAACCAUUUCCAGAUGGGAGAGCAAAGGUGAAAGAGCUGCACUGGUCUUGCUGGUGUUUUGAAAAGUAACUCUUCGUGAUGCCCUUAUUGCAGUCUGAGAUUCAUGAAUGUUUUGAACAUUAUGAAGCCUUGUAUUCUAACAUAACAGUCAACACUCAGGGGGUGUAUCAGCCAUGUGGAGUCUCUCCCUGUUACUUAGGAGAGAGAUACUGCAUGACAUUCACGCAACAAGGAGCUACUGCAGCUGCAGCUUGUGCUGGCUGCUCACAGAGCAAUGCAGGAGAAAGACCGGACCAGGUGAGCAAAAACUCAGACUAACCUGACCACCAGGAACCAGAGGAUCAGCUCUAAGGGGUACACUGUUAGCUGAAAAACACCUAUCUAAGACUGCCGUGUCUUGAAAAUAUCUACCUGAACUGUGUUUCUACAAACACAUCCCCAAUUUUGCCAUCAUCUCUUCUCCUUUAUGUGUCAUUUUAUUAGACAGGUGAAUUGACUGCCCUCCACACCUCCACCAUAAAUGAACUACCCUGUCCUCCCAAUAAAAAGGACUACUCAAGGGCAUGAGAUGUCUACAGAUGCCCUCUCUCAGGAAAAGAUCUUCACUAAGGUUUCAAGUACCUCUGAUAUCCAGUUGGGUUCAAACGACUCUUGUUUUGACUAUUUUUCUUUUGUGUGCUUGAAUCAACUAAUUUCAUACCUUUGGUAGGAAUUCUUCAGCGUGUUUCAACAGGACUAGACAGGCCAAGAUUUCUGAGCUCAAAACCUGUCUGUGUGUCUAUAUUGCUCUGACAGGAUUUAUUCCACCAAAAUUAACUCCAAAAUGGGAAGAGAAAAUACAAGAUUUAUAAUCUAUGGUUCCAGUAUUGAGUAGCCAGCCAAGGUGAUCCUAAACAGGGAGAUCUUUCACAGGACUAUUUAAUGGAGGGUUUAUUCGUGAUCUGUGUUCCUGAUUCAUGGGGGGAAGCCAGCAAACCUCAUGGCAGAAGUAUGAUGCUCAAAUAGAGCGACACUGUAGUGUUAUAUAGGAUCACAAAGUUAAGUGACAAAACUGUCAGGGUCAGUUUUAUCAGUAAUAUGGGAAAAACUGAGUAAAAGUAUGAAAAAAAAUAUCUUCCUCCUGUUGUGGUCAAGUUACUGACUUGAUAAGGCUGUCAUUUUGAGCUGCAUAUUGGUGACCACGAGUUGGUCACUGUUGUGGUGCAAACCGUGCAGCUCGAGAGACCAAAGUGGCUGAGAACUUAUUUCACAGAAUCACAGAAUCACAGAA